UUGUGUUGUUGUUGUUUGAGGACACUGUCCAGCAUUUUACAAUAAAAGCAUAUUAUUAUGCAAGCUCAACUUUUAUGAGCUUAUAUUAAUUGAGAGGCUGUGUCUGAAAACUGGAAAAUGCUGCCUUUGGAGGCUCUACACGGAGGCGAGUCCACUCUGGACAGGUCGAUGUUCGAAGCUGAACGUCCCGAUGGCUGGUCCGGCUGAAGGAAGGUGCAGAGACGGCUCUCCGGAAGCAAGAGAGAUUGGUCAAUCAUGGAGCCAUCAGACCUUCUAAUCAUCUGGGAAAAUGAGAGGUGGUGGAACAUGCUUUUACAUCAAUGAAAGUUGGUUACAGAUGCAACAGUGUUGAAGAAGAUGUGCUGUCCUAAUUUAGAUGCACUCCUCAUCAACUGUAAGUCUUUCUACUCGCUGUGGGAGUUUUCCUCGUUUAUUCAGGUGAGUGUUUAUAUUCCUCCACAUGAGUGCGUGAACGCAGCACUGCAAUAGCUGGCUGAUCACAUCACAGACACGGAGCAACACAGACUCACUUAUUAAUAUUCUUGGAGAUUUUAAUAAAGCAAACCUCACCUGUGAACUGCCAAAAUAGAAACAACACAUCACAUGCCCCACCAGAGACAGAAAUAUACUGGAUCACUGCUACACCACUGUGAAGGAUGCAUAUAGCUCUGUCCCACGUGCAGCUUUAGGAUUCUCUGAUCACUGUCUGGUUCAUCUUCUCCCAACCUACAAGCAGAAACUAAAAUCAGCUAAGCCUGUAGUAAGGGCUGUAAAGAGUUGGAUUAUUGAAGCAGAGCUGGAACUACAAGCCUGCUUUUACUGCACUGAUUGGAGUGUUUAUGAGGCUGCAGGCACAAACCUGGAUGAGCUCACAGAUACUGUGACAUAAUAUAUCAGUUUCUGUGAGGAUAUAUGCACCCCUACCAGGACAUUUUUUUUUAUAAUUAAAUAAGGAUAAACUAUGGUUUACAGGAACAAAAGACAGCUUCGUCAUGCCAAUGAGGAUGCUUACAGAAGUCGGGGUAAUAUAUUGUACAACCAGGGCAGAAACACACUGACUAAGGAAAUCAGAGUGGCUAAUAGAAGCUACUCUGAAAAGCUGAAAAAAAGAUUUCAGCCAAUGAUCCUGCAUCUGUGUGGAAAGGCCAGGAAAGCAUCACCAGACUGGCUGGUUUGAAAUUAUUGGCUGGUUGAACUGCAAAGCACCUCACUGAUCUUGGCCUGCAUCACCUUUGUCUAAUGAUGGACUACACUCUUAAAAUGGAAUACACUGAAUAUAUCUGGGAUGAACUUCAAAGGCAUUUGUAAUUAAUCUUUACAGUUCUUACAAAAUCUUUGUUUAAAUACUGGGCCUUAACACUUACUUAGUUUAAUCAUUUUAAACCAUGACUUGCACUGCACAUAAAUAGCUAAUAUUGGCAUUAUAUUCAUGCUGUUAGCCAGAGGGGAACUGGCCCCCACAGUGAGCCUGGUUUCUCCAAUGUUAUUUUUCUCCAUUAACCAACAUCUUAUGGAGUUUUGUGUUCCUUGCCACAGUCGCCUUUGGCUUGCUCACUGGUUUUCUAAAUACAAUUUUUAUUUAAUUAUUUAUUUUAAUAUACAUUUCAUAAUUUAAUUUAAUCAAACUACACAAUGAUGACUUUAUAGAUAUUAUGGUUUCAUUUUCUGUUGAUGCAUGAUUUCCUGUAAAGCUGUUGAAAUGAUGUGUGUUGUGAAAGGCGCUAUACAAAUAAAAAUGACUUGACAAGACACCUCUCCCUUGCUCUCUACACCUCCUGGAACCCCACUCCUCCCCCAUCCUGCUACUCAAUCUGCACUUAUGAUCUGUGAGGAGGAUGUGUGCUGGGUCUUUCAGAAACAAAAGUCUAGGAAAGCUUCAGGCCCAGACAGUGUUUUACCUGCUUGUCUGAAAGUCUGCACUGACCAACUGGCCCCAUCUUCACACAGAUCUUCAAUGGAUCACUGGAGCAGUGUGAAGUUCCCUGCUGCUUCAAACACUCCACCAUUAUUCCGA